GUUAUGUCUGUCCUAAUACCAGGAAAUAUGACAUUGAUUUUCUGGCUUCGCUUUCAGACUAAAGCAAUUCUUCAACUCUAUCCUAGUGUGAUUGUUGAUUUGAUACUACUUGCACUGGCAAUUUGUAGAUACAUUU